rnacentral:rRNA from 1 species
GGCCUAAUCAUGCAAGUCGAACGCACUCUCGUUUAGAUUGAAGGAGCUUGCUCCUGAUUGAUAAACAUUUGAGUGAGUGGCGGACGGGUGAGUAACACGUGGGUAACCUGCCCUAAAGUGGGGGAUAACAUUUGGAAACAGAUGCUAAUACCGCAUAAAACCUAACACCGCAUGGUGUAGGGUUGAAAGAUGGUUUCGGCUAUCACUUUAGGAUGGACCCGCGGUGCAUUAGUUAGUUGGUGAGGUAAAGGCUCACCAAGACCGUGAUGCAUAGCCGACCUGAGAGGGUAAUCGGCCACACUGGGACUGAGACACGGCCCAGACUCCUACGGGAGGCAGCAGUAGGGAAUCUUCCACAAUGGACGAAAGUCUGAUGGAGCAACGCCGCGUGAGUGAAGAAGGUUUUCGGAUCGUAAAACUCUGUUGUUGGAGAAGAAUGUAUCUGAUAGUAACUGAUCAGGUAGUGACGGUAUCCAACCAGAAAGCCACGGCUAACUACGUGCCAGCAGCCGCGGUAAUACGUAGGUGGCAAGCGUUGUCCGGAUUUAUUGGGCGUAAAGCGAGCGCAGGCGGUUUCUUAAGUCUGAUGUGAAAGCCUUCGGCUCAACCGAAGAAGUGCAUCGGAAACUGGGAAACUUGAGUGCAGAAGAGGACAGUGGAACUCCAUGUGUAGCGGUGAAAUGCGUAGAUAUAUGGAAGAACACCAGUGGCGAAGGCGGCUGUCUGGUCUGUAACUGACGCUGAGGCUCGAAAGCAUGGGUAGCAAACAGGAUUAGAUACCCUGGUAGUCCAUGCCGUAAACGAUGAGUGCUAGGUGUUGGAGGGUUUCCGCCCUUCAGUGCCGCAGCUAACGCAUUAAGCACUCCGCCUGGGGAGUACGACCGCAAGGUUGAAACUCAAAGGAAUUGACGGGGGCCCGCACAAGCGGUGGAGCAUGUGGUUUAAUUCGAAGCAACGCGAAGAACCUUACCAGGUCUUGACAUCCUUUGACCACUCUAGAGAUAGAGCUUUCCCUUCGGGGACAAAGUGACAGGUGGUGCAUGGUUGUCGUCAGCUCGUGUCGUGAAAUGUUGGGUUAAGUCCCGCAACGAGCGCAACCCUUAUUACUAGUUGCCAGCAUUUAGUUGGGCAUCUAGUG